UUCGGCCAUAUCACGUUGAAACACCAUUUCUCGUACGAUCACCGAAGUUAGGCAACGCUGAGCCUGGUCAUAACUAGAUGGGUGAUCGCUUGGGAAUUACAGACGCUGUAUG